ensembl:snRNA U4 U4 spliceosomal RNA
CGCUUUGUGCAGUGGCAGUAUCAUAGCCAACGACGUUUUAUCCGAGGUUCGAUUAUUGCUAAUUGAAAACUUUUCCCAAUACCCCACCAUAACAAUUUGAAAUAUAGUUGGCUUUGGCAGUUUUUGACAGUCUCUAUGGAGA